rnacentral:rRNA from 1 species
AGAGUUUGAUCAUGGCUCAGGAUGAACGCUGGCGGCGUGCCUAACACAUGCAAGUCGAGCGUGAAGGUAAGUAUGGAUUCUUCGGAAGAAGUACUAACUGGAAAGCGGCGGACGGGUGAGUAACGCGUGGGCAACCUGCCCCAUACAAAGGGAUAGCCACUGGAAACGGUGAUUAAUACCUUAUAAAACAUAGUAGUCGCAUGGCUACAGUGUCAAAGAUUUAUCGGUAUGGGAUGGGCCCGCGUCUGAUUAGCUAGUUGGUGAGGUAAUGGCUCACCAAGGCGACGAUCAGUAGCCGACCUGAGAGGGUGAUCGGCCACACUGGAACUGAGACACGGUCCAGACUCCUACGGGAGGCAGCAGUGGGGAAUAUUGCACAAUGGGGGAAACCCUGAUGCAGCAACGCCGCGUGAGCGAAGAAGGCUUUCGAGUCGUAAAGCUCUGUCCUAAAGGAAGAAUAGAUGACGGUACUUUAGGAGGAAGCCCCGGCUAACUACGUGCCAGCAGCCGCGGUAAUACGUAAGGGGCUAGCGUUAUCCGGAAUUACUGGGCGUAAAGGGUACGUAGGCGGUUUAUUAAGUCAGGGGUGAAAGGCUACGGCUCAACCGUAGUAAGCCUUUGAAACUGAUAAACUUGAGUAUGGUAGAGGAAAGUGGAAUUCCUGGUGUAGCGGUGAAAUGCGUAGAUAUUAGGAGGAACA